rnacentral:rRNA from 1 species
GCCUAACACAUGCAAGUCGAACGCAGUAGCAAUACUGAGUGGCAAACGGGUGAGUAUAAUGUGGGAAUCUGCCUUUUGGUUCGGAAUAACACGAGGAAACUUGUGCUAAUACCGGAUAAGCCCUUACGGGGAAAGUUUUAAUGCCAAAAGAUGGGCCCGCACUUGAUUAGCUAGUUGGUAAGGUAAUGGCUUACCAAGGCAACGAUCAAUAGCUGUUCUUAGAGGAAGACCAGCCACAUUGGGACUGAGACACGGCCCAAACUCCUACAGGAGGCAGCAGUGGGGAAUCUUGCACAAUGGGGGAAACCCUGAUGCAGCGAUGCCGCGUGAGUGAAGAAGGCCCUUGGGUUGUAAAACUCUUUCGUCGGGGAAGAAAAUGACUGUACCCGAAUAAGAAGGUCCGGCUAACUUCGUGCCAGCAGCCGCGGUAAUACGAAGGGACCUAGCGUAGUUCGGAAUUACUGGGCUUAAAGAGUUCGUAGGUGGUUGAAAAAGUUGGUGGUGAAAUCCCAGAGCUUAACUCUGGAACUGCCAUCAAAACUUUUCAGCUAGAGUAUGAUAGAGGAAAGCAGAAUUUCUAGUGUAGAGGUGAAAUUCGUAGAUAUUAGAAAGAAUACCAAUUGCGAAGGCAGCUUUCUGGAUCAUUACUGACACUGAGGAACGAAAGCAUGGGUAGCGAAGAGGAUUAGAUACCCUCGUAGUCCAUGCCGUAAACGAUGUGUGUUAGACGUUGGAAAUUUAUUUUCAGUGUCGCAGCGAAAGCGAUAAACACACCGCCUGGGGAGUACGACCGCAAGGUUAAAACUCAAAUGAAUUGACGGGGACCCGCACAAGUAGUGGAGCAUGUGGUUUA